rnacentral:lncRNA from 1 species
GCCUCCAGAGAUAGACAUGCAUGACUCAAGCCAGCUCCCUUGAUUAAAAGUCCAGUGCUUUUUGCAUCACACUGGAAUGUGGAGCCCCCAAACACUUACACCUGCAGCAUGUAUUACCAAGAGGCAAAUGUCACUUUUUAAAGCAAAACAUCCUUGCCUACUACGGCAUGGCUUUCAUUAUAAAUUCCACAUCAGCCAGCAGCAAUGCUGACCUUUUGCUGCUGCUCAGAGAGAGGCACUGCCCCAGUUUAUCCUCUAACUCAGCCCAAUCUCUGUGUUCUGUCCUUAAUAGCUGUUAGAAAUACCCCUGUCUUUUCACUUUCAAGCUACCACCUCUGGGGUAGCACUCGUCCUCACCUCUCCUCGACUGGUUGAUGACAGAGCUUUUUGCCCAACUGGUGAUACCACUGUGACAUAUGUUCUUCUCUGCAAGAGCACCCUUGUCUUCAAGCAUGCCAAGAUUUUCACCAGAAUCAAGAGACCUAGAUUUAACAGCUCAUUCUUCUUAAACUGACCAUUUAAAUUUUGAGUUCCAAAUGUUCUCAUCUAUAAAAAGGGAUAUGCAGGGAUAUUACAAGAAGUUAAGGUAUGCGAAAGUGCUUAAUAAAAUGUGAAAUGAUUUUCAAAUUUAAGGUAGUUUUCUAUCUCAUCAUUGCUCCGCUUAUGCAUUUCCAUUAACUUUUAUUCUGGAGUCGACUUCCUCAAAGCCACAUGAGUUGACCAGCUUUGCUUUGGAAGGCCAAGUCUCACGGGGAUGUCCACUCAUUCAUCGUGAUGGCACCAGUGACGACUCUCGAACUUAGGAGCAGAAAAAGAAGGAAUGGCCAUGUGACUUAUGUCCAUGGAAAACCUGUUCUUGAGCGUUUUUCCAGACUGUGAUUGGCUGUGGAUAACAAACUGCGGAAUGCGAAACUGUUGAUAAGGGUGGACUACUGUAACUCUGGACAAUUUCCUCAACUCUGCCCAAUAUCAAAGGAAGGCUCUUCAGGCUCCAAGCAUUGUCAGUGAUGUGCUACAAAGAGGAACAACUAAGCUGACACAGAUAUGAAGGCAGCAAUGACACUGAACUGCCAGAAUAGUGAUCCUCAAAGGUGGACAGGGUCAGAAAAGAAAAAAAUUCAAGAUAUGCAAAGGAAGCCAGAUCAAAAUCCCCUUGGCCAUGGAUACUGGUGCCCUACAUCAGCACCCUUCAAGAGUGUGGAUGAGGCUGAGUAGGUGGGAACCUGCAUCCCUUGAAAGAAGCAGGCAAGGACAGGGUAGUGACAAGUGCUGGUCACUUGUGAGGGCUGCCUCCCCAUCCAGUUCCCUCUGCAGCCAGGAGCAGGAGUUGUUUCUGGCUCAAGCCAGCCCCCAUGGCCGCCAUUCCCUUAUAUGACCCUGCUUCGCAGGGUAACGUACCAGACAGUUUCACGCUCGUUAUCCUUGCAACGGAUUACUCGGUGAGGAGCAUCAGAGAACUGAAAAGACAGACUGACUUCGACUUGAAUCCUGGCUCUUCCUCUUACUAGUUUCAUGGCCUUGGAUGGAAAAAUGAGUUAUUCCACUGAAGCCAGGAAAAUCCAUGCUGGCACCCUAGCAGUCCAUCAGAAAGUCGUUAUUUCUCCACUGUCAGAGAUCCUGUCCUGAAUAUGCAGCCUAGCACAGCAUGUUAUGGAGCCAGGUUUCAGAAAACAGCUUUGAUAAAGCCUGUUUCCAGUGGCCUGAUGGGAUUCCAGGAUGCAGUCAUGCUGUAAGAUGGUGGCCAGACGUGUGUGAUUUGGAGCUCUACUUCAGGAAAGCUUGCAAGUAGUCAUGAGCUCAUGGCAACAUGAUGUGCUCAGCCAGCCAUGAGCACACUUCAUUUGAAGUCUUUAAAGAAGAAAAAAUCUUUAGAGCAUAUAUUGGGCUCUAGACAAGUGUAAGUCAUAUUUGUCAUGAAAGUGGCCUUAGGGUUGGGGUAAUUGAAUCUUAUAUUCUUGGAUUGUGAUGCCUAGUAUUUCUCCUUCCUUUUGCCAUUAGUGAAAAAAACCUAGAGGAGAAAAAGCAGAUUGGCAUUCCCAACUUUUCUCCCAGCACUCGCCUGAGGGGCAGAAGCCCUUGACUGGACUUUCCAGCUUUUUUCCAGGCAAUUUCUUCCUGACCCCAGCUUUCCCAAACAGUCAAGGCACUGGAUCUUCUGGGCUGAUCAUCAUGCUCCUUCUCCCAACUCAGCUCACUCCUCAGCAUUUCCUGUGCCCUAGAAACUCAAAUUCAGCCAUGGCUUCUAUCCAGUGUCUCCAAACUGUUAAAAAUGUCUCUUCUAAGGAGAACUCAGAUUUUUAGAAGACUUUGAAACAAUCUAAUUUUACUUUCUGUCAAAUGUUGAGAUUAUUUUCAUUUCUGGUAGCAGCUGAGGAAAGAGUGUUACUUUUUGUAUUUUUUGCAUAUUAGAACAACAUCAAUGAAAUAUUUUACCUGAAUGAUCUUCUUCCCUGUUCUCAACCCACAUGAGUCCCAUCAACUGUCUAAUGAAGACAAGGCAUGCUGAUGGACUUAGGGCAUGUUGGGGGAAUGGUGAAUAGACCAAGGCAAUAAGAACAGAACUGUGAUGUGAGAGGAGUUGGGAAGCUGCCUCUGGGAUCAAGGGAAAGGAGAACUCAGUACCCUGAGGUGCACAAAAGGCACUGCACAAGAAGGCCCACAUUGACGUGCAGAAGGAAGUGAAGAGGAAGGAGUGAUACAUUCUGAAAUGGUUGAAGAGCCGAAAAAAGGCAAAGCAUUGAGGAAAGUGAGAACUGAGGAAAAGGGCACUGGAUUUGAUGACUCACUACUCUCCUUUAGUGAACUUUAAUAGAAGAGUUUCAGUAGAGUAAUAGAAACCAAAAUUGCAACCAGUUCAACGAGUAGGAGGCAAAGAAAUGCCAGUGAACAUAGAUUAUGCUUGAAAUGAAUGCAAGAGAUGAGACAGCUGACUUCAGAAAGCAGCGGAUUCAACAGAAGAUUGUUUAAUUGGCUGACAAUUUUUAUGAUAAGAAAGACCAGAAAAGGUCUAUAGGCUAAUGGGGGAGAGGAUAGUGGGAAAAGAUUGUAGAGGUUUGGGAGGUUUUUGUCCUCAGAUAGGAGGAAAGAGAGAAGGUACAUGGCACCUAAUACAUACUCAAUACGUAUUUGUUGAAUUAAAAAGGAUCUAGUUUGGAGGAUGCUAACUCUUAUGGGGAGUAAUAGUAUAAUAAUUAAGUCAAAUCUUAGCAAGAGGUGGUUCCUGGAAGAACUCAGGUCUCAUUUGAAGGGAUCCCAAGAUCCCUUGAGCCAGGCACUUCUCCCCAUGCAGGAAUAUAGAGCCAUUGAUACCAGAGAUUCUGAUGGCAAAAAGCUGGAUUUUUGUGGGAGAUUUCUUUAUUUUUAAACUUUGACAACUGUUUUAAACAACGUUAAUCCAACAAAAUAGCCAAUAUUCAGUCAAUUGGCAACCACUUGGUAACUUGUAUUUUAGCACAUAUUUCUCUAGAUCAUACUUGCUUGAAUGGCAUUUAACAGUUUUAUUGAUAUAUAAUUUACAAAUACAAUUCACCCAUUUAAAGUGUACAAUUCAACUGCUUUUAGAAAUUUCCAGAUAUGUGUAACCAUCACCACAGAGCAUUUAAAAAAUUUUCAUCACCUCAAAAAGAAACCUGGGGGUUCUUUAGCUAUCACUCCCCUAUUUCCUCACUCCCCCAACCCCAAGCAACCACUAACCUACGUUCUCUAUACAUUUGCUUAUUCUGUAUUUUAUUUGAAUGAAAUUGUGUAAAAUGUAGUCUUCUGUGACUGGCAUAUUUCACUUAGGGGAUAGGUUUUUUUUUGUUUUUGUUUUCAAGUAAAGAAGUGAGAAUGUGAAAAAUUUGGAGGGAUUUUAAUCUCAGUGAAAGGGAAGGCCA